rnacentral:lncRNA from 1 species
GAGCAGCUCAAAACAACAUAAAUUUAUUAUUACAAAGUAUCUGUAAGUCAAAACUCUGAGAGGCAGAAAUUAAGUUUUUGCAAGGCUGCUUUCCCUGCUGGAGCCUCUAAGGAAAUAUCCGCUUCUUAGCAUAUUCAGGGUAUUGGCUGAAUUUUGUUCCUCGAGGUUGUAGGACUCAGGUUCUCACUUCCUUUCUGUCAGCUGGGAGCAAAUUUUUGCUCCCAGGGGUUGUCUUCAUUUCUUCGCAUGCUUUCCAUUUAGCCCUUCCAGGUCGUCCAGGUCAAAUCUCUUUUACACUUCUAAACUCCAUUGUUUUAUUCCACUACACUCCUUCCUUUCCUUUAAGGAUUUAUGUGAUUAGACUGGGCCAACCAGAUAAUACAAUAUAAUCAUCUUAUUUUAAGAUCUAUAACCUUAUUUACAUUGGAAAAUCCAUUCUAGUUUAUCUAAUGUACACAUACAUUCUAGGGAUCAAGGCAUGGACAUCUUUUGAGAGCCACUCUGCUUAAUACAGGAUAUUUGAAUAUCGUUGGGAUUAACUUAUUUUAUAUAAAGUGGUCAAAUAUAAAGAAGACAGAUGAUUAUUUAUAGUUUCUAAGGCAAUAAUAAUAAAUAGUAUCCUAAAUACAGGUGAGUUAAUUGACAUAGAAGAGAAAGAGGAGUUCCUAUAAAGUUAUAGGAAGGAAGAAAGAAUGGAUGGUAAAAGUGGAGUCAAAAGGAUAAAAGAGGUUCAAGAUGGUAGGAGGUGAGCAAUAGAGCCUUAAGCUUCAGUGAGAAUGAAUAAAAUGAAAAUUGGAAGUUUUACUUGAUUUAGCAAGUCGAUGUCCUUGAAUACCUUUUUAAGGGGUGUGCAGACUGGAGAAAAGCAAUAGAAAACAAAUUGCAAAGGAUCAAGAAACUAAUGAGAAACUGAUCAUGAAUAUAUCUGAUAGGUUUUAAUGUUUUGGAUUGAAAGUGCAAGGAAAAAAACAUGUAGCUGGAGCUAGAGUGUCAUGCAGUUAAAGGACCCAAGUUGAAGGUAGUUAAGCAUCCUGAGAGAUCUUUUUGUGGUUCACAAGUGUGAUGAUUAGGUUUUCAGACUCAUGUGUGAGACAUGCCUUCCUCAAACCUUCUUAUGCUAUCAGCACAUAAUCUGGCUGACAUUAUAAAAAGAGAGAGAAUUCUGAGAAUAUUUUCAUGAUUGGAUAUGAGGUGAGAGAGAAAAAUACAUAUCAAAAAUUACUGUCAGAUUUCUGUUGCUCAUUGAGUGGAUGGUGCUACCAAGGCUUCACCAGGAAAUGGGAAGAGAACACCACAGUUGCAGAAAGAGGAUUAAUUUGAUGUUAUGCUUUGUUUCAUAGAUUACUAGUUACUGUGCCAAUAUUUAUGUUUCCAUUCAAUUUUACUUGCAGCACCAUAAUUUUGUGCUG